rnacentral:lncRNA from 1 species
GCGGCCGCUGGGUGCAGCCGAGCGGUGUGGAGCGGAGAGAAUACUCGAAGGGCUCUCCUGAUACUAACAGUUUUACGAUUUAAAACUUCGCCAGAAUUUCGACAGGGUCUCACUGUAUUGCCCAGGUUGGUCUCGAACUCCUGGCUUCAAGCGAUUCUCCCACCUCAGCCUCCCAAAGUGCUGGGAUUACAGGCGUGAGCCACCACGCCUGGCCUCACUCAAACAGUAAACGAGCUUUAUUGCAGCCGGGCACGGUGGCUUACGCCUGUAAUCCCAGCACUUUGGGAGGCUGAGGCGGGCGGAUCACCUGAGGUUCGGAGUUCGAGACCAGCCUGACCAACAUGGAGAAACCCCGUUUCUACUAAAAAUACACAGUUGGGCUGGGGUGGUGGCUCAUGCCUAUAAUACCAGCACUUUGGGAGGCUGAGGCGGGCAGAUCACCUGAGGUUGGGAGUUCAAGACCAACCUGACCAACAUGGAGAAACCCCGUCUCUCCUAAAAAUACAAAAGUAGCCGGGCAUGGUGGUGCAUACCUGUAAUCCCAGCUACUCGGGAGGUUGAAGCAAGAGAAUCACUUGAACUCAGGAGGCGGAGGUUGCAGUGAGCCAAGAUUGCACCAUUGCCCUCCAGCCUGAGCAACAAGAGUGAAACUCCGUCUCAAAAAAAUAUCCCUAAACAACACAUUAAUUUUAUAUCCUUUUGAAACUUUAUGUAUGUGACGCAUUCCCAGACUCUUCAGCCAACUGAGCAUCAGCUUCUUCACAGCAAUUGGGUCCUGAUUAAUGUCCUCCCAAGACAGACUUCAUUGGAUCCACGAUCAAGAGGACUCUGCCAGGUUUUUCUGACCCCUCUACAUUGCUAUAAAGUGCCAAGGCCUUAAGACUUGGGUACGUGUGUUACAACGGCAAGAGUGCCAGCGCCAACAAAAGACCCAUUGGACCUGUCAGCUCCUCUGUUUCACCAAGCAGACACAAUAACCUUACCAACAAAGCAGAGUAAGCCAAGUGCCUCUGUGUGACACCACCAGCAGCUGAUGACGCAU